GGAUGUGAGGGUGAUCUGGCUGCAACUUCUGUCAUCCCAUUGAUCGCCAGGGUUGAUUCAGCUGAUCUGGCUGGCUAGACGGGUGUCCCCUUUCUCCCUCACCCCUCCACGUGCAUCCCUCCUGAAACUGCAUGCUUGGUCAAAGAGGAUGACCAUCCCCAAUAGAGGAAGACCAGUCUUUGGUCAAGGGUAUACGAGUAUCUGCACUCCCCUGCUAGAACCCCCAAACAAGUUCUCAA
rnacentral:snRNA from 1 species